rnacentral:lncRNA from 1 species
GAAUGAGAAGAUUUGUUGAUGUUGUUGUUACUUUCUAGAAAUCAAUCUCAGAGAAGGGAGAAUUUGAUUUUCCAGAAAUCUGAUGAAGGUUUUGAUGUGGAGGUGGAAAGAGGAAUAGAAAGAAGAAGAUGGAUUAGAUGGUGGUGAAUCAAUUUUCUUUUGUUUCAAUUUCCGCAGAGGUUGUGUAGUUAGUGAUAGUUGGGGUUUGAAGAAGGAGAAGGA